rnacentral:rRNA from 1 species
ACGGAAGGCAGCAGUGGGGAAUAUUGCACAAUGGGGGAAACCCUGAUGCAGCAACGCCGCGUGAGUGAUGACGGUCUUCGGAUUGUAAAGCUCUGUCUUCAGGGACGAUAAUGACGGUACCUGAGGAGGAAGCCACGGCUAACUACGUGCCAGCAGCCGCGGUAAUACGUAGGUGGCAAGCGUUGUCCGGAUUUACUGGGCGUAAAGGGAGCGUAGGCGGACUUUUAAGUGGGAUGUGAAAUACCCGGGCUUAACCUGGGUGCUGCAUUCCAAACUGGGAGUCUAGAGUGCAGGAGGGGAAAGUGGAAUUCCUAGUGUAGCGGUGAAAUGCGUAGAGAUUAGGAAGAACACCGGUGGCGAAGGCGACUUUCUGGACUGUAACUGACGCUGAGGCGCGAAAGUGUGGGGAGCAAACAGGAUUAGAUACCCUGGUA